ACAAAAGAUCAGUCAUGUUGAGUCUUCCAUGGUUGAACUUGAAGGGACAGAAAUCACUGAGGUAACUAGUCUGGUGGUUGACGACGAAGAGCUGGAAAAUAAGGAGGAAGAAGAAGAAGAAGUCCUUGAAGAACGAACUGAGACCACUCCCGAUCCUCAUACCAAUACCGAAGAAGAAACUGAUCUUGGAGGGAAAAAUGGUAAUCAUAUGGUCGAUCCUGAGUGUACGCCAUCUCCUCGUCGAGAAACUAAAAAUAUUGGUCUGUAGUAGUCGGGUGGUGGUUCGAUUCCCGAGACGAUGGAUGUACCGAUGUCGAACCCAGAGUUUUCCUUUCGGUAAAAUUUAUUCUGCUGGCAGUCAACCUGAUUUGUACGAUGUUAUGGGUUAGCUUCGGAUUUCACACUGUUGUCUCCUAAUGAUAACUGGGAGGUGGAAGCCGAAGACGAUGGUGAGAAGUUGAUCGAAGAGGAAGAUAAAUCUGGCGGUGAGGAUGCUGAGCUUCGGGAUGCUAAGGAAACGAAGGACAAGGAAACUGCUGUUGGUGCAUACGAUGACGGUGAUAGGACUUUUGAUUGGUUGAAGAAGAAAUAUCUUAUGAACGUUCCCUAUGCUUCUCUUGUUGUGCAAGGUGAGAGAGACUCUGAUGCAUUUACUCGUCGUCACAUGGAUUUUUCAUCUCGUGAAAAGGUGAACAAAGUGGCAGCGUGGUAUUGGUGCUUCUCUCCUGUCGAACUUGUUGGCUACUCCUCUUGCGUCUAUUGCUGAGAUGAUGGCCAUUGUCGAUGGUCAUCAAUAUGGCUUUCCUCAACAACGCAUUCUUGAGUUGGUGAACAACGAAUAUUUCAAACGUACUCUCUAUCAAUUUUUAAGAGCUAAGGCGCUCAAGUUGGAGGCGAAGCUGCGUCAGAGGGACGGUGAACUCCAGUCUUUUCAAGAAUUGAUUGAAGCGAAGGAUAACAAGAUACUAGAGUUGAGAGAGCAGUUGAAUGGGAAACAACAGGUCAGCGCCGUGAGGAAGGGCUUUGUCAGGAGGUGGCUUAUCUUCGUCAAGAUCUAGAUAAGGCUCGUGUCGAAGCUUUAUCGGCGAUACUUCGUCCAAAGGUUUGUCCUUUUUCUUUCCUUCUGUCUUUGUCUGUUUAGUGUUCUUUUUGAGUUAGCCUUCCCUGUCUUUAGCUGGUGGUGCCGAAGAGUUAGUAUGGCUUUGGAAUGAAAGGACUCGACAUGAUUCUCUUAUUAAGGAGUUGGUGUCAAAAGUAAUAUAAAUAUCCGACAUAUGGAUUCUCGUGCUAAUCAACAUAAUCAGUUAAUAGCAGGCUAUCGAAAACAGCGAGAACAGAUGAUUGAAAUGCAAAACUCUGUUUCCGCCGCUCGCUGCCAGUUCAAAGGUACUUUGCAAUGGUCCUGUCAGUCCCUUUAUGAGGCUCGUGAUGCAGUUUCUCGGCUUGAGGCCAAAGUGGUGGAUUUACAAGUAGAGCUCCGUGAAGCCCGCUCAUCUCAUGAUCCUGAGGUUCGGGAUUAUAUACAUCGGCUUGUUCGUGAACGGGAUGAUGCAAGGGCCGAGGCACAUGCUCUUAGUCAGGCCUUAGCUGCUUCUCGUGCUGAUGUUGCAUGUUUGGUUGAAUCAGAGAAAGGAUCUCGAUAUUAAUAGGCUCACAAAGGGGAUCGAGGGGAUCACCAAUGAAGUCAAUCACCUUCGUCAUUUGGAUUCAAUGAAGCAGAGCUCGAGGGACAGUUUCGCCUUGCAAAUGAAAAUUUUGAAAAGGCUCAAUUUGAGUUAGUCAAGCAACAAGCGCGAACCAGCUAUUUCGAUGGGUUGCCGGGACUCUAGAUGUGACUGUGAAGGAAUCUGCAAAAGAAGUGGAACGCUUGAAGUCGUUGUUGACGAAAUAUGAGCUCAAGGUUGCUGCUAUCACAGUUGAGGCUCGUCUUCAGUUAUCCUUGGAAGUUAACAAAACCUUGGCUCAGAUAGAGCAAGUUCUCUUGAAGGAUGGCAUCGUCAAGAAAUACAAGCGUCAUCCCGUUCCGAACCCUUUGUUACCACAUCGGACCCGUCGUCCUGGGGAAGCGUCCCUUCGUCUCAAAAGGAGCGGCCUAAUGAUCGUCCUGAGACAGGACCUUCCAUGAAGGAGUAAGGACCUCCAUGUCUUCGUUGUGGAGUAGAGAUUUGAUGGCUGGUGAUUACGCAACUUUGGGUCAUUUUUUGUGUAUUUUUGUAU